CAGCGAUUCCCGGUGCAGCCGAACCAGCGGCUCAUUGCGGCAGCUGCCGAGGGGGGGCAGAGGCUGGUGAGCGGCGGCUCUGCGGCGCUAUGGGACCGUAGCACCCGCCGCGGGCAGGAGAGAGCAUCAGUUAUUUCUUCAAGAACAACUUUAUCUGUGAUUGGUUGAGGAGGAUUGCAUGUCUGGAACGUCAAAGCCACCACAAUGAAGCACUUCCUGAGACAUUCCUUGUCCACUUGAUCAACUCAUCUGUUCAGUCCCUUCCCAUGAUUCUGCCA